AAGGAAUAUUGGAUAAUGGAUGCAAGUCUGAUCCAGCCAUGCCGCGUGAAGGAUUAAGGUCCUCUGGAUUGUAAACUUCUUUUAUAAGGGACGAAAAAAGGUCUUUUUAGAUCGUCUGACGGUACCUUAUGAAUAAGCACCGGCUAACUCCGUGCCAGCAGUUGCGGUAAUACGGAGGGUGUAAGCGUUAUCCGGAUUCACUGGGUUUAAAGGGUGCGUAGGCGGGCGGGUAAGUCAGUGGUGAAAUCCUAGAGUUUAACUCUAGAACUGCCAUUGAUACUAUCUGACUUGAAUAUUGUGGAGGUAAGCGGAAUAUGUCAUGUAGCGGUGAAAUGCUUAGAUAUGACAUAGAACACCUAUUGCGAAGGCAGCUUACUACGUAUAUAUUGACGCUGAGGCACGAAAGCGUGGGGAUCAAAC
rnacentral:rRNA from 1 species